rnacentral:rRNA from 1 species
AACGAACGCUGGCGGCAUGCCUAACACAUGCCAGUCGAACGAGACCUUCGGGUCUAGUGGCGCACGGGUGCGUAACGCGUGGGAACCUGCCCUUAGGUUCGGAAUAACUCCCCGAAAGGGGUGCUAAUACCGGAUAAUGUCUUCGGACCAAAGAUUUAUCGCCUUUGGUUGGGCCCGCGUUGGAUUAGCUAGUUGGUAGGGUAAAAGCAUACCAAGGCGACGAUCCAUAGCUGGUCUGAGAGGAUGAUCAGCCACACUGGGACUGAGACACGGCCCAGACUCCUACGGGAGGCAGCAGUGGGGAAUAUUGGACCAUGGGCGAAAGCCUGAUCCAGCAAUGCCGCGUGAGUGAUGAAGGCCUUAGGGUUGUAAAGCUCUUUUACCCGGGAUGAUAAUGACAGUACCGGGAGAAUAAGCUCCGGCUAACUCCGUG